UACGGGGGGGGCAAGCGUUGUUCGGAAUUACUGGGCGUAAAGGGCUCGUAGGCGGCCAACUAAGUCAGACGUGAAAUCCCUCGGCUUAACCGGGGAACUGCGUCUGAUACUGGAUGGCUUGAGUUUGGGAGAGGGAUGCGGAAUUCCAGGUGUAGCGGUGAAAUGCGUAGAUAUCAGGAGGAACACCUGCGGUGUAGACGGCUUACUGGACCAUCACUGACGCUGAGGCACGAAAGCGUGGGUAGCAAACAGG
rnacentral:rRNA from 1 species